rnacentral:lncRNA from 1 species
GUCCAGGAGCCAACAGCCUCUCUGUGCAAACCAGACAACCCUGCAGGAACUGUGCUUGAAGAAACCGUGGAAACUGCCCCCAACCCUCCCGUCUCUAUUUCUUUCUCUGUUUUAUUAUCUCAUUCUUGGCUGUGAGGUAAACAGGAGAAAAUGAGAAGGUGGUUCUGGAGGACCCGACCGAAUUUGCUUUCGUGACAGGGUCAAGCGCCCUUUCCUCGCCGGCCGCAGCCCUCACCAAAGGGGAUUUGGGGGCCUCCGGACAGGGGUCCUGAAGGUUUUGAAUUGUUCAAUCUCUGGGGGUACAGGAACCCCUGCAGGAGGUUUCAAAGGCAAGAGUUUCGCAGAGAGAAAAAAACCAUGAACUUUGCAGGUUGGUGGCGGAAUCUGGUGAUUUAAGAAAACGUGUUUAAGCCUCGGCCGGGCCGCGCCUGGGCUGUCUGCGGUGCUCUUCCGGAAUUCUCUACAAUAUCUGGAAGUGACCAAGAAAAUUCCAGAACCCGGAGGCUGCGCCGUGGAGAUAAACAUGGGCACCUGGGGCCUGUGUUCCCCCUGCACGUCCCCAGGAAGGAACUGCUGGACCAGCAGAAUGAGGGGCCAACGCCAGGGGCAGCACUGCCCGGCCACAGAGGACUGUGGCCCCACAGAUGACACCCUCAGCUACCAGCUCCUGCAUCUGGAAGAUGACCAGGAGGAGGAAGGACGGUCUGCAAGUGUUCAAAGUGAUGUUUCCAGGCCGGGCGCGCUUGUAAUACCAGCAUUUGGGAGGCUGAGGCAGGCGGAUCACCUGAGGUCGGGAGUUCGAGACCAGCCUGACCAACGUGGAGAAACC